rnacentral:rRNA from 1 species
CAAGUCGAACGGGCCUGAUUUCGGUCAGGCUAGUGGCGGACGGGUGAGUAACACGUGGGUGAUCUACCCCAAAGUCUGGGACAACUAGGGGAAACCUUAGCUAAUCCCGGAUGGUGAGGCUUCUCCUGUGAAGUCUCUAAAGAUUUAUCGCUUUGGGAUGAGCCCGCGGCGCAUCAGCUAGUUGGUGGGGUAAUGGCCUACCAAGGCGACGACGCGUAGCUGGUCUGAGAGGACGACCAGCCACAGGAGCACUGAGACACGGGCUCCACUCC